CCUCCUAUCGCGCCGAGCUCCAUCCGUUGGGCAGGGGAUCCGACCACCAACACGGAUGGAGGCGGGGGACCCAACCGGUCCACCGACAUCGGACCUGGAGCCGCACGCGGCUCCUAGGGGUGAAGCCGACACCGCAUUCCGGAUCACCGGACCGCGACGCCGGCCGGGCAACCUCUCCAGCCCGAACCCGACAGCUGACCUCGCAGGCGCAUGACGAGAGGACUU
rnacentral:sRNA from 2 species